CCCGAAAACUAACAGGGAGCCGCUGAUAAUGCAAGUCGAGCGGUAGCACAAAGGAGCUUGCUCCUUGGGUGACGAGCGGCGGACGGGUGAGUAAUGUCUGGGAAACUGCCUGAUGGAGGGGGAUAACUACUGGAAACGGUAGCUAAUACCGCAUAACGUCGCAAGACCAAAGAGGGGGACCUUCGGGCCUCUUGCCAUCGGAUGUGCCCAGAUGGGAUUAGCUAGUAGGUGAGGUAAAGGCUCACCUAGGCGACGAUCCCUAGCUGGUCUGAGAGGAUGACCAGCCACACUGGAACUGAGACACGGUCCAGACUCCUACGGGAGGCAGCAGUGGGGAAUAUUGCACAAUGGGCGCAAGCCUGAUGCAGCCAUGCCGCGUGUGUGAAGAAGGCCUUCGGGUUGUAAAGCACUUUCAGCGGGGAGGAAGGGAGCAGACUUAAUACGUCUGUUCAUUGACGUUACCCGCAGAAGAAGCACCGGCUAACUCCGUGCCAGCAGCCGCGGUAAUACGGAGGGUGCAAGCGUUAAUCGGAAUGACUGGGCGUAAAGCGCACGCAGGCGGUCUGUUAAGUUGGAUGUGAAAUCCCCGGGCUUAACCUGGGAACUGCAUUCAAAACUGACAGGCUAGAGUCUCGUAGAGGGGGGUAGAAUUCCAGGUGUAGCGGUGAAAUGCGUAGAGAUCUGGAGGAAUACCGGUGGCGAAGGCGGCCCCCUGGACGAAGACUGACGCUCAGGUGCGAAAGCGUGGGGAGCAAACAGGAUUAGAUACCCUGGUAGUCCACGCUGUAAACGAUGUCGAUUUGGAGGUUGUGGUCUUGAACCGUGGCUUCCGGAGCUAACGCGUUAAAUCGACCGCCUGGGGAGUACGGCCGCAAGGUUAAAACUCAAAUGAAUUGACGGGGGCCCGCACAAGCGGUGGAGCAUGUGGUUUAAUUCGAUGCAACGCGAAGAACCUUACCUACUCUUGACAUCCAGAGAAGACUGCAGAAAUGCGGUUGUGCCUUCGGGAGCUCUGAAACAGGUGCUGCAUGGCUGUCCUCAGCUCUUGUUGUGAAAUGUUGGGUUAAGUCCCGCAACGAGCGCAACCCUUAUCCUUUGUUGCCAGCACUUCGGGUGGGAACUCAAGGGAGACUGCCGGUGAUAAACCGGAGGAAGGUGGGGAUGACGUCAAGUCAUCAUGGCCCUUACGAGUAGGGCUACACACGUGCUACAAUGGCGUAUACAAAGAGAAGCGACCUCGCGAGAGCAAGCGGACCUCAUAAAGUACGUCGUAGUCCGGAUUGGAGUCUGCAACUCGACUCCAUGAAGUCGGAAUCGCUAGUAAUCGUAGAUCAGAAUGCUACGGUGAAUACGUUCCCGGGCCUUGUACACACCGCCCGUCACACCAUGGGAGUGGGUUGCAAAAGAAGUAGGUAGCUUAACCUUCGGGGAGGGCGCCUUUUAGUUUUUUCUCCCUUCCCUUUU
rnacentral:rRNA from 1 species